UACGUAGGGGGCUAGCGUUGUCCGGAUUUAUUGGGCGUAAAGAGCGUGUAGGCGGCCAGGUAGGUCUGCUGUGAAAACUCGAGGCUCAACCUCGAGAUGUCGGCGGAAACCGUCUGGCUAGAGUCCGGAAGAGGAGAGUGGAAUUCCUGGUGUAGCGGUGAAAUGCGCAGAUAUCAGGAAGAACACCCGUGGCGAAAGCGGCUCUCUGGGACGGUACUGACGCUGAGACGCGAAAGCGUGGGGAGCGAACAGG
rnacentral:rRNA from 1 species